rnacentral:misc_RNA from 1 species
GAAAUGCGAUACGCAAUGCGAAUUGCAGAAUUCCGCGAAUCAUCAGAUUCUUGAACGCAACUGGCGCUGGAGGGAUAUCCUUCCAGCAUGUCUGUUUCAGUGUCUGAAAACAUCCAAAUCACUUUAAUGUGUUUGACAAGGAGCAUUCUUUGAUAGAUUGAUUUCCAAGUCUUCCAUGAAAGAUGUAUGUGUGGGUCUUUGGAUCCAUCGAAUUGGUCACUGAUUCAUCGUGAUUUCGAUAGGGUAUUACCAAUUACUCGAACACACAUAGAAUUCAUAUAUCCAUGUAAUAUACUUUAUCAUCUGCAUCUGAAAUCAGACAAGAAAACCCGCUGAACUUAA